UUUCCAGAAUUAUGCAAGUCAACUUCACCAUCUCUAAAAUCACCUGCAAUACAAUCCUUACGUGUAUCGAUGACGUGGCACUCGAUAACUCUAUUAGAAAACAUAAGAAUUUGUGCAAAAAAACCUUCAAUGUAAUUUUGUUUUUGCAAGAUAAACCUCCAUGUCAAAUAAAUAUAGCAUAGGUCAAACCACAAUCUGAAAAAUCUCCUACAACAUAACUCUUCCGUGUAUCGAUGACGUGACAGUCGGUAACUCAUUUAGAGAUUUUAUAAGUCUAUCGAAUAUAUUAUUUUAUUGCAUAUAAUUUAAUUGAGUUAUUGAUUUAAGUUUUAAAUAAACUAUAAGAGAAGCGUUAGGUCAUCGGGGGUUUCUCCUGAUGUCAUGAUUCAAUAAAUAAGGUAUAGAUCUCAAUCUAGGUGAUAACAUGGUUAGGUUUGUUUACUUCAAAAUUCUCGGACAUACGAAACUCUAUCUGAAAGAAAUGGUGCUUGACGAACAUAAAGCAUUCACUUUGGAACUACGUAAGACUUUGGACGGUGGUCAAGAACGGCAGCUUGUAGGGGGAAGCUGGAAGUUGAACUCUUGUAUAAGUCAUUCACGAAGGAAGAAAUGCAAGCGGUUCAGAAAGCUCCAGAAGGCACACCGGCUGCU
rnacentral:sRNA from 1 species